CGUGAGACAGCGUAGCCGUUAGAGAUGGCAAGUCGAACGCUUCUUUUUCCCCGGAGCUUGCUCCACCGGAAAAAGAGGAGUGGCGAACGGGUGAGUAACACGUGGGUAACCUGCCCAUCAGAAGGGGAUAACACUUGGAAACAGGUGCUAAUACCGUAUAACAAUCAAAACCGCAUGGUUUUGAUUUGAAAGGCGCUUUCGGGUGUCGCUGAUGGAUGGACCCGCGGUGCAUUAGCUAGUUGGUGAGGUAACGGCUCACCAAGGCCACGAUGCAUAGCCGACCUGAGAGGGUGAUCGGCCACAUUGGGACUGAGACACGGCCCAAACUCCUACGGGAGGCAGCAGUAGGGAAUCUUCGGCAAUGGACGAAAGUCUGACCGAGCAACGCCGCGUGAGUGAAGAAGGUUUUCGGAUCGUAAAACUCUGUUGUUAGAGAAGAACAAGGAUGAGAGUAACUGUUCAUCCCUUGACGGUAUCUAACCAGAAAGCCACGGCUAACUACGUGCCAGCAGCCGCGGUAAUACGUAGGUGGCAAGCGUUGUCCGGAUUUAUUGGGCGUAAAGCGAGCGCAGGCGGUUUCUUAAGUCUGAUGUGAAAGCCCCCGGCUCAACCGGGGAGGGUCAUUGGAAACUGGGAGACUUGAGUGCAGAAGAGGAGAGUGGAAUUCCAUGUGUAGCGGUGAAAUGCGUAGAUAUAUGGAGGAACACCAGUGGCGAAGGCGGCUCUCUGGUCUGUAACUGACGCUGAGGCUCGAAAGCGUGGGGAGCAAACAGGAUUAGAUACCCUGGUAGUCCACGCCGUAAACGAUGAGUGCUAAGUGUUGGAGGGUUUCCGCCCUUCAGUGCUG
rnacentral:rRNA from 1 species